rnacentral:rRNA from 1 species
UGGGGAAUUUUGGACAAUGGGCGAAAGCCUGAUCCAGCAAUGCCGCGUGUGUGAAGAAGGCCUUCGGGUUGUAAAGCACUUUUGUCCGGAAAGAAAUCCUUGGCUCUAAUACAGUCGGGGGAUGACGGUACCGGAAGAAUAAGCACCGGCUAACUACGUGCCAGCAGCCGCGGUAAUACGUAGGGUGCAAGCGUUAAUCGGAAUUACUGGGCGUAAAGCGUGCGCAGGCGGUUUGCUAAGACCGAUGUGAAAAUCCCCGGGCUCAACCUGGGAACUGCAUUGGUGACUGGCAGGCUAGAGUAUGGCGGAGGGGGGUAGAAUUCCACGUGUAGCAGUGAAAUGCGUAGAGAUGUGGAGGAAUACCGAUGGCGAAGGCAGCCCCCUGGGCCAAAUACUGACGCUCAUGCACGAAAAGCGUGGGGAGCAAAACAGGAUUAGAUACCCUGGUAGUCCACGCCCUAAAACGAUGUCAACUAGUUGUUGGGGAUUCAUUUCCUUAGUAAACGUAGCUAAACGCGUGAAAGUUGACCGCCUGGGGAGUACGGUCGCAAAGAUUAAAAACUUAAAUGAAUUGACGGGGUCAUAGCUGUUUCCU